CUAGCUGUAAACGAUGGAUACUAGGCGUUGAGAGUAUCGACCCUCUCAGUGUCGUAGCUAACGCGUUAAGUAUCCCGCCUGGGGAGUACGCGCGCAAGCGUGAAACUCAAAGGAAUUGACGGGGGCCCGCACAAGCGGUGGAGUAUGUGGUUUAAUUCGAUGUAACGCGAAGAACCUUACCAGGGCUUGACAUGUCCGGAACCCUGCCCAAAGGCGGGGGUGCCUACGGGAACCGGAACACAGGUGGUGC
rnacentral:rRNA from 1 species